UACAGGGGGUGCAAACGUUGCUCGGAAUCAUUGGGCGUAAAGCGCACGUAGGCGGUUCGUUAUGUCGGAUGUGAAAGCCCUUGGCUUAACUGAGGAAGUGCAUCCGAAACUGGCGAGCUAGAGUACGAAAGAGGAUCGCGGAAUUCCCGGUGUAGAGGUGAAAUUCGUAGAUAUCGGGAGGAACACCGGUGGCGAAGGCGGCGAUCUGGGUCGAUACUGACGCUGAGGUGCGAAAGCGUGGGGAGCAAACAGG
rnacentral:rRNA from 1 species